UGGUGAAUCGGGUUGAAAGUGAAAGUCGCCAAAAACUGGCGGAAUGCUCUCGAAACCAAUUCACUUGAGUGAGACAGAGGAGAGUGGAAUUUCGUGUGUAGGGGUGAAAUCCAGAGAUCUACGAAGGAACGACAAAAGCGAAGGCAGCUCUCUGGGUCCUUACCGACG
rnacentral:ncRNA from 1 species